GGAACCCGGUGCGAGUCCGGGACGGUCCCGCCACUGUGACCGGGAGAUUCCCCGGGAGUCAGGAGAC
rnacentral:ncRNA from 1 species